GGCUGUUCCAGUCGCUGGCCCCCCAUAUGCACGUUUCUAUUUCAAAUCUCGAAGGAAAAAUAGUGGCUCUGAACUUCGCAUGCAGUCUUUAUGAUUGUUGCGUUGAGUUUACUCCAGUAUUUGCAGAAAUCUAUAAACAGCUCAAGGAAAAUGGAGAGAGCUUUGAGGUUGUGCUAGUGUCCUUGGACAACGACUCUGAUUAUGAUGAAGCCAUAGAAAGCAUGCCUCGGCUUGCAUUUCCUUUCAAUGACAAAUUAAAGCUGUGAUAAGCUUUUUUGCUAUUUUGAUCUCCAGGAAAAUAAUCAUCAUGCUGUCAUCUUGAUUGGAUCGGAUGGGAAAACUAUGAAUUAAUGUUGAUUUAAUUGAACUUAUUAAAGAGUAUGGAUUUGAUGCAUGGGAAGCUUUCCCGUUUUCUCAGGAGAAAUUGCAUGAGUUUUCAGAGAAAGCAAAGGCCAAACUUCACAGACACUCGAGUCACUUCUUGAUUCAGGUGAUCUGGUCUGUCAUUGGAAAAAUAGGAUUGAAGGCAAUGAAUUUUCUUGCUUAACAUGUAAACAACUUCCACAUUUUCUAACUGAACUUUCCUUAUUUUUUCA